rnacentral:rRNA from 1 species
AUGGGCUGCCGGCUAGCAGCCGGAGAUCUUGGCCCGGAGGAUGGUGCACUUGGACUUCUGGAAGGAGGACAGCAGCUGGAGCGGCGACUUGGCGGUGGUGGAGUUGGGCGACGGGGCGAGGUCGAAGCGCGUGAGCAGGGCGUCCUCGGACAUGGCCGUCGGCGGCUUGAUGACGGCGAAGGCGAGGAUGAGGACGACGAGGACGCCCCCGAGCACGAGCAGGAUCGCCGCCCAGAUGGCGAUCUUGGUCCAGUUCCACUCUUCGUACUCCCAGAAGGUGCCCAUGGCUUGCCUCGCCUGGCUGGUGGUCGGAUGGGGACGGGGAGAGAAGCGUGGAGCUGGAGCGCGAAGUCCGGCGAGGAGGGGGAGGGGCCGGUGACCAGAAGAGAGGCUGGAGCCGGAGACUUAUGGCGAGCGGGUCUUGUGGCUGUGGCCAAUGGGCAUCCAGAUUCCAGACGAGAGCAGAGAAAGACCAAGACCAAGGCCAGUGGGGUCGUAUAA